AAGUCAAUUACUGGUAAUUGGUUAUUUUGUACCAUUUUUAUACCAACAAGGGAAAUUAAUCUUUCAGUUUUUUAGGUAUGGCUAAAUCUGUAGGGUUUGGUCCCCUUAGAUAAUUGUUAACAUUAUUUCUCCCACAACCAUUCUCGGAUUAAGUUGAAACACAAAACAAUUAUCUAUUGUACCUAACAAAAUAUUAUUCAGUUAGUCAAUGAAUUAUUGGUAAUAAAUUAUUUUAUUGAAUAUUGAGGAUAUAGCUGUCACUAUGGAGUUCUUCCUCUUAGAUAAGUUUGUUUUUUUUAGGAUUUUUAAAUAUUUUGCUUGUUUACUUUUUACUCUUCAAUUUUACAAUAUGAAUCUAGAAAGUGAUUCACUUGGAUCCUCUGAUGUAGACUUCGUUGAAAUGAAGGUUAUGUUGACUUUGUAGACACAUUUCAAGUGUUAUGUCUAGUAUAUAAAUGUCUAUGUUGUGACAACUUUUUAAUAAACUCUGUGGAGAAUAUUUUUAUGUACAAUUAAUUGUUAUAAUUUAAUCAGAUGUUAACUCAUUAUUUUACUACUAUUUUUAAUUAUUUAUUUAUUUUUUUUAUCAUUGUUGAAUGCUAGAGAAAAAAUUGACCUGAUGUAGGUUUUUAGUACAUUAGGAUUUCUUGGCGCUAUCAACAUUUAGUUUUAGUGUAAGAAAAAAUAUGGGGGUGGGGGGGGGGGG